AUUGAACGCUGGCGGCAGGCUUAACACAUGCAAGUCGAGCGGGGUGAUGGUGCUUGCACUGUCACUUAGCGGCGGACGGGUGAGUAAUGCUUAGGAAUCUGCCUAUUAGUGGGGGACAACAUCUCGAAAGGGAUGCUAAUACCGCAUACGUCCUACGGGAGAAAGCAGGGGAUCACUUGUGACCUUUCGCUAAUAGAUGAGCCUAAGUCGGAUUAGCUAGUUGGUGGGGUAAAGGCCUACCAAGGCGACGAUCUGUAGCGGGUCUGAGAGGAUGAUCCGCCACACUGGGACUGAGACACGGCCCAGACUCCUACGGGAGGCAGCAGUGGGGAAUAUUGGACAAUGGGGGGAACCCUGAUCCAGCCAUGCCGCGUGUGUGAAGAAGGCCUUAUGGUUGUAAAGCACUUUAAGCGAGGAGGGGGCUCUUUUGGUUAAUACCCAAGAUGAGUGGACGUUACUCGCAGAAUAAGCACCGGCUAACUCUGUGCCAGCAGCCGCCGUAA
rnacentral:rRNA from 1 species